rnacentral:rRNA from 1 species
ACGAACGCUGGCGGCAUGCCUAACACAUGCAAGUCGAACGAGACCUUCGGGUCUAGUGGCGCACGGGUGCGUAACGCGUGGGAACCUGCCCUUAGGUUCGGAAUAACUCCCCGAAAGGGGUGCUAAUACCGGAUAAUGUCUUCGGACCAAAGAUUUAUCGCCUUUGGAUGGGCCCGCGUUGGAUUAGCUAGUUUGUAGGGUAAAAGCCUACCAAGGCGACGAUCCAUAGCUGGUCUGAGAGGAUGAUCAGCCACACUGGGACUGAGACACGGCCCAGACUCCUACGGGAGGCAGCAGUGGGGAAUAUUGGACAAUGGGCGAAAGCCUGAUCCAGCAAUGCCGCGUGAGUGAUGAAGGCCUUAGGGUUGUAAAGCUCUUUUACCCGGGAUGAUAAUGACAGUACCGGGAGAAUAAGCUCCGGCUAACUCCGUG